UCCCUGGUGGCUCAGAGGUUAAAGCGUCUGCCUGGAAUGCAGGAGACCCAGGUUCGAUCCCUGGGCCAGGAAG
rnacentral:tRNA from 1 species